rnacentral:miRNA from 1 species
UUCGUUCUAAUCAUUGCCAUCU